UACAGAGGUCUCAAGCGUUGUUCGGAUUCAUUGGGCGUAAAGGGUGUGUAGGUGGCGCCGUAAGUCGGGGUGUGAAAUUUCGGAGCUUAACUCCGAAACUGCAUUCGAUACUGCGGUGCUUUGAGGACUGGAGAGGAGACUGGAAUUCAUGGUGUAGCAGUGAAAAUGCGUAGAGAUCAUGAGGAAGACCAGUGGCGAAGGGCGGGGUCUCUGGGACA
rnacentral:rRNA from 1 species